rnacentral:rRNA from 1 species
CCCUUAGAUGUUCUGGGCCGCACGCGCGCUACACUGAUGCAUUCAACGAGUCUAAAACCUGCUCUGAUAGGGGUGGGUAAUCUUUUGAAUGUGCAUCGUGAUUGGGAUAGAUGAUUGCAAUUUUUCAUCUUCAACGAGGAAUGCCUAGUAAACGCAAGUCAUCAGCUUGCAUUGAUUACGUCCCUGCCCUUUGUACACACCGCCCGUCGCUCCUACCGAUUGAAUGAUCCGAUGAAUAUCAUGGAUUGGGGAUUAUAGCAGGUUCGCCUGUCUUGAUCUUCGAGAAGUGAAGUAAAUCUUAUCAUUUAGAGGAAGGAGAAGUCGUAACA